UACGUAGGGGGCAAGCGUUGUCCGGAAUCAUUGGGCGUAAAGCGCGUGUAGGCGGCCAGAUAAGUCCGCUGUGAAAUCUCGAGGCUCAACUUCGAGCUGUCGGUGGAAACUGUCUGGCUAGAGUCCGGAAGAGGAGAGUGGAAUUCCCGGUGUAGCGGUGAAAUGCGCAGAUAUCGGGAAGAACACCCGUGGCGAAGGCGGCUCUCUGGGACGGUACUGACGCUGAGACGCGAAAGCGUGGGGAGCGAACAGG
rnacentral:rRNA from 1 species